GAGGGUAUAGCUUAGGGUUAGAGUGUGUGCCUAGCAUGCACAAGGUCCUGGGUUCAAUCCCCAGUACCUCCC
rnacentral:tRNA from 1 species